GUCAGACCCCUCUUACAUUGGACCAAGGCUCCACACAUACAGUGUGUAUUACAUCACAAUUAUGAUGAAAUCAGUGAACUCAAGCAGAAGCUGGAGGUAAUGACACGUGAGGUGGAACAGCUUAAGGAAUGUGUGUCAUCUGCAGAAGCUCAAUUGCGAAAGGAACAGUCAGGUAUCUGGUGGCCAUUGUGUUCAAAACAUUGCUGAAAGUCCAGAAGGAACGGGAGGCGCUUAGGGCAGAGCUACAGCAGACACGGGAGACACUGUCA